CCCUUAGAUGUUCUGGGCCGCACGCGUGCUACACUGAGUAAUUCAAUGGGUAAGGGAACGCUAGAGCAUUACCUAAUCUUGAAAUUUGCUCGUGAUGGGGAUCGGCGGUUGCAAUUUUCCGUCGUGAACGAGGAAUACCUUGUAGGCGCAUGUCAUCAUCAUGCGCCGAAUACGUCCCUGCCCUUUGUACACACCGCCCGUCGCUCCUACCGAUUGAGUGAUCCGGUGAGGCUCUGGGACCUGGACGGAAAGAGCGUUUCGCUUGUUCUGUUUGGGAAACUUAGUCGAACCUUAUCAUUUAGAGGAAGGAGAAGUCGUAACA
rnacentral:rRNA from 1 species